UACGGGGGGGGCAAGCGUUGUUCGGAAUUACUGGGCGUAAAGGGCGCGUAGGCGGCCUGCUAAGUCGAACGUGAAAUCCCCGAGCUCAACUCGGGAACUGCGUCCGAUACUGGUUGGCUUGAAUCCGGGAGAGGGAUGCGGAAUUCCAGGUGUAGCGGUGAAAUGCGUAGAUAUCUGGAGGAACACCGGUGGCGAAGGCGGCAUCCUGGACCGGCAUUGACGCUGAGGCGCGAAAGCGUGGGGAGCAAACAGG
rnacentral:rRNA from 1 species